CCCUUAGAUGUUCUGGGCUGCACGCGCGCUACACUGAAGCGUUCAACGAGUAUUCACCUUGCCCGGGAGGGUUGGGUAAUCUUUUGAAAACGCUUCGUGAUGGGGAUAGAUUAUUGCAAUUAUUAAUCUUCAACGAGGAAUUCCUAGUAAGCGCAGGUCAUUACCCUGCGUCGAUUAAGUCCCUGCCCUUUGUACACACCGCCCGUCGCUCCUACCGAUUCGAGUGAUCCGGUGAACCUUUUGGACCGAGACUGCUUGCAGACUUGGGAAAUCAAGUAAACCACGUCACUUAGAGGAAGGAGAAGUCGUAACA
rnacentral:rRNA from 1 species